GCUCGUCCUGCGGAACAUGCAAAAGGGUCAAAUCCCUAGCCGCCAACCUUCCCCGUCAAGCCUGCGGCCCCUCCGCCUCGUCUCCUCCCCGUCCCUCCUCUCCAACGCCGCCGCCCUCGAUGCGCCAUUAGGGCGCCGUCGACACGUCAGGGAUACACCGUGAUGGAGCUCAGCCCGAGCCCAGCAGAAGCCACUCCUAACCAUGUUCGCUCAAUUGACAAGAGAAGGGCAGCGGAUUGGUCGAGGGCACCCGCAUGGCCUCGUCGCCGCUGUCACCUGGAUUCGCUAGCCGCCGCCUUGAGUCACACCCGUCGCCGCCGCGAGUCAGCUCCAUCAUUGCUGCAAGGAAUCUCGUCCCCGGCAAGGAAAAUUCCUAGGGAUUUUAUUGACGGAGGCAUCACUAUCUGGUGCUGGAUUAUCCAUUUUUGCAGCACUAGCAAUGCUAUGUCGCUCAUGCCAAGCAUCGUUUCACAUUCAGGGGGGUUUACUCUCCCUCAACGUAAGCGUCGAUGCAAUGGAUAUUGAUUUUGGCUUGGGUGCAAAUUGAGUACAGACGACUUUCUAGUUUAGGCAUCAUUUCGAAAUUGUUUGGUGUCCAUGAAUUUCCCGAUGAGCUUGGCCUGCACCAUGCUGCCUCAUGUAGGAUUUUGGCGCUCGUGAUCUUCCUUGCUUAGGUGACUUGUCCCAAUCCUUCUUCCCCUCCCAUCUGAUCUCUCUCUCUCUCUCUCUCUCUCUCAGGUUUGACGUGUGUUCUAGUUUAAGCUUAACAUGAUUUUUUGAUAAACAUUACAUGGAGGACGAUGGUUUUCUGUAAAACAAGCCAUUCAAAGGAAAAUAAUGAUACUUGAGUUCAUUGUGUUUUGUGUGAUUUGCACCAUGGUUGGAUUUUUGGACAAAUGGGCAUUGUUGCUUCACUGCUAUAUGUGGUUGAUGCUUAGUUCAGAAACUCGGUUCGAGUUAAAUUGCUUUAGGCCAUCCUUCCUAUCUCUACUAUUAAAGCGGAAUCGAACGUCGUGAUGGUUCAACCUCUUUUCAGUCUCACAACCCCUCCGCGCAUGAUAGAAAAAAGAAAAGAAAAGAAAAUAAAAAACCCACAAGUACGCACGUCCCAACUCCCACCUCCCACUUCCCACUCCUUCCGCCAGAUCCUCGCUCUCGAUCCGGUGUCUCUGCAGAGACGAAUCGCCGCCGCCGGCCUAUUCCCGCCUACGUCGACCUUGAGCGGCAACACAAUGCAGCCAGACUUCUAUACUAGAUUGGAGCGGUGGAUCUACAUCUAUCUCUUCUUCACCGAGUCCACGAGGUACUCGACGUGGCAGGGGCGACGAACAGGAGCACCACAUCGACAACAGCGACGAACGACGGCCCAGGUGUUGCCAUCUCCUUAUCUUCGAUCCAACCCAUCUUCCCCUCGUAUCCUGUACUCCCGCACCCCCUCAUUCUUCUCUCCCGUGGCAGGGACCGACGAGUUGCAACGGACGGGGGGCAGUCCGGCUGCUGGCGUAAAGGACGACGGGUGGUGGUAGGGCCGUGGGAAGAGCAGGUAGACGGAGAAGGUUGCCUAUGGAAAUCUGGCAAGUGGCAGCGGCAUACAGACCAAGCGGGAAAACACCAGAAAUAAAUUCAACUUGGGGAAGAGAAUCACGAGGAUGAACUCGUCGGCUGCUUCUAGCGUGUUUUGUGGUGGAGGAACAUAGAAAUCUCCGUUUCCUCAUUACUUUAUUCCGAUGGUUUAUUUGCCAUACGUUACAUUGGCGAGAGAUUGGCGAGAGGUGGGUUACCAGAAGGAGGCGACGUUAAAAUCAGUGCCAGUGACGACGACGAUGGACACGAUGAGCUUGGUUGGCAGUGGCCGCCGCAACAGUGUUGUACUCGGAGCCCAUGCUAUCCGAGCUCGACAAUACGAACAGCUCAGUCCUUUUGCAGCCGUGUUCAUCGACAAGUUGUCCAUACAGUACCUUGGCAUCAACAACCACGGCCAUGAUAGCGGAGUUGUGCUGGCCGACAGCCCUGCUACCAUGCGCCGAGCAGUCUACUGAUUUCAGAAGACCGUGAGGACUGCUGGGCUCAAGGGGUUGAAUCGGGUUCACCACAUGUGGUGGCAACCUGGGUUGGCACUCAUCUUGGAGCACAAUUAAAUGGAAAUCAGUAGCAAAACCACAAUCUGCAUAGUGACUUCAAUGGAGGUGCACCGGAUGAACCGGAGGUGAUCAUUUUGGACUGCACGGAUUUGGACUAUGCACGGAUGUCCUAAUUCUGUUAGGUCCAAUGGGCCCUGCUUAAUACAUCAAACAACCACAUUUUUUCAUGCAUUAUGAUGACUGAUCCUUGUAAACUGCAUUACAUAUAAUAUUUAUAAAGCUCUCUUCUUGUAACCAUUGUAUAUGCAUAAUCGAAAACCAACCCUUAAUUAGUGGCACAAACACACUGACAUCCAAAGAAUGGAUUAAGUGCUAGGGAGAAGGGAGGGCGAAGAUGAAGGCUCUGCUAUGUAGGUGGCCUUGAUGUAACUAGAGCAUUCUUUGGUCAUGUUAGAGACUUAUUAGUGAUAGAGCAGUAAAUUAUUUUGUUAGGAUAAUAAAUUGUGUGUUACGUUCUUUUAUACGGAUGAUUUUAAUCCCAA